ensembl:lncRNA
CCCCCGGGACCCUCAGGGACCCCCUGGGACACCCAGGGACCCCCAAUGAUCCUCCCCGGGACCCCCCCUGGAACCCCAGGACUCCACAGGGACCCCCAGUGACCCCUGCACUGUCCCCAGAGUUGUGUCCGUGUGUCUCACCUGUCUCACCUGUCCCUGUUCCACCUCUGUGUGUCCUGUGUGUCUGUGUGUGUCUGUGUGUCCUGUGUGUGUCUGUGUGUCCAUGUGUCCUGUGUGUCCUGUGUGUCUGUGUGUCCUGUGUGUGUUCCUGUGUGUCUCACCUGGCUCUGUUCCACCUCUGUGUGUGUGUCCUGUGUGUGUCUGUGUGUCCGUGUGUCUGUGUGUCUCACCUGGCCCUGUUCCACCUGUCUGUGUGUCCAUGUGUGUGUGUGUGUGUUCCUGUGUGUGUGUUCCUGUGUCCGUGUGUCUCACCUGUCCCCGUUCCACCUGUGUGUCCUGUGUGUCUGUGUCUGUGUGUGUCCAUGUGUCUGUGUGUCUGUGUGUCCGUGUGUCUCACCUGGCCCUGUUCCACCUGGGUGUCCAUAUCUCACCUGUGUCCGUGUGUCUGUCUGUGUGUCUGUCUGUGUCUCACCUGUUGUACCUGUACAGGUCCAGGUCCAGGACGGUCCAGAUGAGAAUGGGGAGAUGUUCCUGUGGCUCUGUGUGUCUGUUCCUGUCUCACCUGUCCAUGUCUCACCUGUCCAUGUCUCACCUGUCUCACCUGUCCAUGUCUCACCUGUCCAUGUCUCACCUGUCCAUGUCUCACCUGUGCAGGUCCAGGUCCAGGAUGGCCCAGAUGAGAAUGGGGAGAUGUUCCUGAGGGCUCUGUGUGUGUGUAUCUCACCUGUGUCUCACCUGUCCAUGUCUCACCUGUGCAGGUCCAGGUCCAGGAUGGUCCAGAUGAGAACGGGGAGAUGUUC